rnacentral:rRNA from 1 species
UGGGGAAUAUUGGACAAUGGGCGAAAGCCUGAUCCAGCCAUGCCGCGUGUGUGAAGAAGGUCUUCGGAUUGUAAAGCACUUUAAGUUGGGAGGAAGGGCAGUAAAUUAAUACUUUGCUGUUUUGACGUUACCGACAGAAUAAGCACCGGCUAACUCUGUGCCAGCAGCCGCGGUAAUACAGAGGGUGCAAGCGUUAAUCGGAAUUACUGGGCGUAAAGCGCGCGUAGGUGGUUUGUUAAGUCGGAUGUGAAAGCCCCGGGCUCAACCUGGGAACUGCAUCCAAAACUGGCAAGCUAGAGUAUGGUAGAGGGUGGUGGAAUUUCCUGUGUAGCGGUGAAAUGCGUAGAUAUAGGAAGGAACACCAGUGGCGAAGGCGACCACCUGGACUGAUACUGACACUGAGGUGCGAAAGCGUGGGGAGCAAAACAGGAUUAGAUACCCUGGUAGUCCACGCCGUAAACGAUGUCAACUAGCCGUUGGGAGUCUUGAACUCUUAGUGGCGCAGCUAACGCAUUAAGUUGACCGCCUGGUGAGUACGGCCGCAA